rnacentral:misc_RNA from 1 species
GUUAAAAUUUUUAAAAAGCGCUAAUGCAAGUCUCAACUGUAGUUUUCUUCUUGCCCAGUUGGAGUCUCUGUAGUCUGAAGGCAUAUUCGGCCAGCAGACGAAUCUAGGGCGUGUCUUUUUGUUUUAAAAAUGGCGACCAUGUUUUGUUUAUUAGCAAGUUUUACCGCCUCUCAGACUCAGAGACUCAGAUUCUUGUCACACGAUUUCUGAUCUGAAAAAGGUUCUUUAGGAUGAUGCUGCCCUCACUUUCAAUGUAGUGAUUAGUAUUCUGGAAAACCAUCAGUACACAACAAUGGUGUGGGGAAGAAUGACGAAGCACAUAUUGAAGAAGAAGAAGCACAGAGCUGAUACAUUCUCGUAGCCGCCAGUCCCGCCACUAUAUUGUUCAUCGUCCCGUCAAAGAGAGAGAGGAAAUCUGUCUGUUUGCAUAGGACAUGCAACUUUUUGUACCAACCAGUCUACACACAUCGAUGUCAACCCAUAUCAUCUAAAUAACCGGUUUUUGUAGGCAUACUCGGCCAGCAGACGAAAAAACGAAGCAGACGGAUCCCUCAAUCACAAUAAACGAAAGAGGUUGUAGAGUUGGAAAAAAAACCCCGAUCAAAUGCUGGCACUAGCUCCAAGUUUUCGCGAUAGACUUCCGAAAGAAAGAAAGGGAACUGGAACGUUUGAAAAAAAGCUCGCAAAUUGAAGCUCAUGAAGGAUUUGACAGCUGAACUCAAAGAAGUGCAAGAGUAAUUCAAGAAGACUAAACGGAGGUGUCCGGUAUGGAGGGCAACAUCAAAACUAUAGCAAAAGAAGAGAAUGAAGUGUAUGUGGGCCGUAUUGAAGGAGAUGAGGAAAUUUCUGAUUGCCGCCGAACAUUACAGCUCGAUGCCGAUCAGCUUGCUUCGUUACGGCUAAAAGUGGGCAAAAAGGAGCAAGCUGUUGCGGAAGCUGAAACGCAGAUUGCCAUUCUAAAGCAAGAGACUCAAUCAUCGCCUUGGUCCUCCUGAAUCGAGUCAGCAAACAGUCUUUGCCUGUUCCUGUUCCUGCUGUCGUCUCCAUUACGAGGUGGCUGGGUGUGUCAAAGAAAUCCGAAGAUCAUUUGCAGCAGCACUGUGAGAAUCAAAACUUGAAACAUCGCGUUUUCCCAUUUGGAGAAUCAGCUGCGUGCCUUCCAGGUAGACAAACUCGAAAAGCUAUGCCUACAACAGCAACUGCAACAAUUUCAAAAGGAAUUGGCUGAAGCCAAAGAAACUCGGGUUGACAGCCGAUUAAGUUUGAUGGAGGAUCCACAAAAUUGUAUACCGAAAUACCGUACUUAUUCAAAAGCUCGUGUAGAAUUUUGCAUCUUCUGUUGCAAAUCGCCAUUCUUUACGUUUUGAUUGUUUAUUUUUUGGUUUGUAUCGAUGCAGAGAACUCCGGUUUCAUAAUGAUAUGGUUACCUUUUGUUUCAGCAUUUCCCGUGAGAAUUUUAAACUAGCCUAACAAUUGUUAAGAACUAUUCAUCUUAUCAUCGUUGUUUUUUAUAUGUGUUACAAUUAUUUCGAUGAUAUGUCUUCUUCUGAAGUUUUUUUAUUUGUUUUCUUUUCCAAUUAGUUCUGCAAUUAUUGGAGCAAUAAUUCAAUAACUAAUUUUGUUUCAUUUUCUUUUUAGGUGUCCUUGUUUGGUCGAAGUAUAGUGGCAACAAGGUCCGAAUGUCUCCUCUUCCGGCCUGAUCAAAGAGUCAGGAGUCAGCUGAUGGCGAAACAGACGGAAACCGCUGCCGUUAUCAACACAGUCAUCUUAUCAACACAUCUGUCACGAAAAAUACAACGCUAAAAUACUCGAGUACUCGCACCAAGGAUCGCUAAAAUUCCUCUGCUUGUGUGAUGAGUCUGAUCUGAAUGUUACAUCCAUGGCAUUCUUUUUCAGCCUAUUGUCUUUCACGUUUCGUUGCAGUUUUACGGAAUUUUUAAGCUUUUUGAAAAAGGUGUAACUCAUGUAAUAAAAAGGUACCCAAGUCUCCCACCA